CUGGUCACCAUGGCUACAGAAACACACCAGAGGAGCGCAUACAGAGGUGCCGCGGUCCGAGCCCAGUAAUUCCCAUUAUUUGGGAUUAUUUGGUGACGCUUUUAUCCAAAGCUCGUCAUGAGCAGUCAGUUUUAGGCGUCUAGAUCAUAGACACCUCGACACUCAGCUAGGAAGAGCCAGGGUUCGAACUAUCAACCUUCCGAUUAUCAACCAACCGGCUCUAGGAUGGAUCCACUGGCUAACCCCGCGGGGCAAGUGCUCCGUCCCGUGUGAGUGACAGCUCCUUUCCUUUUAUCCUUCUGCACUAUUCACUUGAGUGCUGUCCUUUAUUAUUUUCGUCGAUUAACUCAAACCAUUCACUCUUAGAAACGUUUGUGUGCCUGUUUCUGCAGCAUCAGGAACAGGCAUACAUGUUCCGGGACAUCGUGAAGCCCUUCUCCUCGCUGAUAGGCCAAUCAAAUCACAGCAGCUCCGAGGCCUGCGCUCUGAUAGGGAUGAGAUAGAGACGCAGCUUCACUAAGUCUAAACACUGCACACUGCAGCCCGCUGUUGUUUAUUUCUGCGUGUCAGCAUGAGUGUAACCAGGGAUUGGUCCUCAGGUUCCAGGAGCGGUUGCAGGUCAAGUACCUCAAGGCCGCCGGGCGCCAGAAGCCCGCCCUGGACGCCAGCCGAUGGCGUUUCCUCAACCUCCCGGUGGAAGCUGGUGGCGGGGAAGAAGAGGGCACCGAGGGGGGGCCGGGCGGGGGGGUGGAGCCAGGCGGGGGGCUGGGGUCUGGUAGGGGGGUGGGGCCCAGAGGGGGGGUGGAGCCAGGUGGGGGGCUGGGGUCCGAUGGGGGGGUGGGGCCCGUGCUCCUCAGCAGUAGACCAAGGGACCGGACCGGCCGACGGACCCCCACAGAGCCGGCCUGCCUCUCCAGACAGAGCGGCGCCCAGCGGAGACGUCGCCAGAGGGUCGCCGCGGUGGAGAGGAAGCUCCUCCAGCACCCCCUGGGUCUCCAUGAGCACUAUGAGCAAGGCAUGCCUCCGGAGUUAUUUCAGAAGGUGCUGUCGGUUCUGGACCCGGACAUGUGUGUCAGAGAACCCCAAACUCCCGGUUCUACGCCUGAGGAGGCCAUCAGCAAACUGUCCCUCCGGUUCCAGGACCGGGACGCCUCACUGGUAAGAAGACUUCUAGAACACAUUCAGCACACUGUUCCAACACUAGAGUAACGCUCAAACCUGUUCUCACACUAGAUAGAGUAACAGAUUUGUUGUUUUUGAUCUGUCAGAGAGAAGCAGGACGACAGAAGGCCGUGGACGAUGCUCGGAUUCAGGAUCCUAAGAGAAGUCCAGAGAAUGAAACCUCUUGGGACCACAACGUCUGCCCUGAGGAUCUCCAGUUCCAAAGGCAAAGCAGCUCCAAGGUGAGUUCUGCUCAGAGACGUGGAUCCACAAGGUGGGUUCUGCUCAGAGACGUGGAUCCACAAGGUGGGUUCUGCUCAGAGACGUGGAUCCACAAGGUGGGUUCUGCCCAGAGACGUGGAUCCACAAGGUGGGUUCUGCUCAGAGACGUGGAUCCACAAGGUGGGUUCUGCCCAGAGACGUGGAACCCCUCCCACCGUGUGAUGUGCUUCCCCGCAGGAGGAGAAAAGACAGAUGUUUGGGUUCAAAGCGUUCCGGCAGUACCUCAUCCAGAACCGCCUGAGGGCCCCAGAGGUGAGAGACGACCACGCCAGCGAGUGGUCCAGGGGUCUCCUGGUGUCCCUAACGUACGCUCAUAGAGGCUUUCUGUCUUCCAGUUCAUGAGUGAGGUCUUCUCUGAAGAAGAGGCAGUGGAUGCUGGGGUGUGACGGUGGGUCGUCCAGGAGCCCCCUCGACGGGACCACGCUUCGUAAGCAGCGUCCCACGGGGGGAACGUCGUCAGGGUUUCUUUACACGUCUCAAUAAACGGUAGAACCCUCAGAACAGCAUCUCUCUGUUCAUCAUCUGACUUCUGAAACCACUCGUGUUUAGAGGUACCAAACAUCUCUGAUCCGUAUAUAUUUAAAACAUCAACUUAAAAUUUUCAAAAGUAAGGUUUAUUAUCCUAUUGUAACAAUUCUUAAAAAAUUAAGGGAGGUUUGAUUUAAUGUUUCGAAAGAUGAGGGACACACAGCCACAUACACAAUACACUUGUGUGAGGGUUGUCCAGCCCUCCUUUAGGUGGUUCCUCGUACCCUCGUUCUCCAUCCAUCCAUCCCCAGAAGCCCUUCGUCCCGGAGCACUAAGGCCUCCUUCCAGAUGUAACUCUUAGAAGACAUUCGUUAGUAGCUAACUGACUCAUCGUCUCCCAGACUUCCCCUGGGUUCUGGCCGCACCAACGGGGAGCUGGGGGGAGG
rnacentral:lncRNA from 1 species